rnacentral:rRNA from 1 species
GAUGAACGCUGGCGGCGUGCCUAAUACAUGCAAGUCGAGCGAACAGAUAAGGAGCUUGCUCCUUUGACGUUAGCGGCGGACGGGUGAGUAACACGUGGGUAACUUACCUAUAAGACUGGAAUAACUCCGGGAAACCGGGGCUAAUGCCGGAUAACAUGUUGAACCGCAUGGUUCUUCAGUGAAAGGCGGCUUUGCUGUCACUUAUAGAUGGACCCGAGCCGUAUUAGCAAGUUGGUGAGGUAACGGUUCACCAAGGCAACGAUCCGUAGCCGAACUGAGAGGAUGAUCGGCCACAGUAGAACUGAGACGGGUUCCAGACUCCUACGGGAGGCAGCAGUAGGGAAUCUUCCGCAAUGAGCGAAAGCCUGACGGAGCAACGUCACGUGAGUGAUGAAGGUCUUCGGAUCGUAAAACUCUGUUAGUAGGGAAGAACAAAUGCGUAAGAAACUGUGCGCGUCUUGACGGUACCUAAUCAGAAAGCCACGGCUAACUACGUG